GAGAGACAGACGGGUGAAGGAGCGGCUGAUCGACGCCGUGUCUGAAAGUGUCUAUGUGACGCGUGACUCUGUUUCGUCGCUCGUCCGUGAUUAUUACUCUGGGAUCCGGAAGGCCAGGCUCACGCCACACACAUGCGCCGCUGAGGACACAGACCCACAGACAGAGAGGACAGUCUGUACUGGAGCUCUACAGACACAUCUCACCAACUGGGCCAGAAAACCCACAUCUGCUGAGUU